rnacentral:rRNA from 1 species
UCGAGAAUCUUCCGCAAUGGGCGAAAGCCUGACGGAGCGACGUUACGUGAAUGAAGAAACCCUUCGGGGUGUAAAGUUCUUUUAUAUGGGAGGAAGUUAUUGACAGUACCAUAUGAAUAAGAGGAUCCUAAUUCUGUGCCAGCAGGAGCGGUAAUACAGAAUCCUCAAGCGUUACCCGGAUUUAUUGGGCGUAAAGGGUUCGUAGGUGGCGUAGUAAGUUGAAAGUUAAAACUCAUCGGCUUAACCUUUGAGGUGCUUUCAAUACUGCUAUGCUUGAGGGCGUUAGGGGUUAGCGGAACCGACGGAGUAGGGGUGAAAUCCGUUGAUAUCGUCGGGAACACCAAAAGCGAAGGCAGCUAACUAGGACGACCCUGACACUGAGGAACGAAAGCGUGGGGAGCAAAAAGG